GACGAACCGAGCGAACGUUAUUCGGAAUUACUGGGCGUAAAGCGUGCGCAGGCGGUCUUUUAAGUCUGUCGUGAAAUCCCCGGGCUUAACCUGGGAAUUGCGAUGGAGACUGCAAGGCUAGAAUCUGGCAGAGGGGGGUAGAAUUCCACGUGUAGCAGUGAAAUGCGUAGAGAUGUGGAGGAACACCGAUGGCGAAGGCAGCCCCCUGGGUCAAGAUUGACGCUCAUGCACGAAAGCGUGGGGAGCAAACAGG
rnacentral:rRNA from 1 species